ACGAACGCUGGCGGCGUGCCUAAUACAUGCAAGUCGAGCGGAAUGAUGAGGAAGCUUGCUUCUUCUGAUUUUAGCGGCGGACGGGUGAGUAACACGUGGGCAACCUACCUUGUAGAUUGGGAUAACUCCGGGAAACCGGGGCUAAUACCGAAUAAUCCAUUUUGCUUCAUGGCGAGAUGUUGAAAGACGGUUUCGGCUGUCACUACAAGAUGGGCCCGCGGCGCAUUAGCUAGUUGGUAGGGUAAUGGCCUACCAAGGCGACGAUGCGUAGCCGACCUGAGAGGGUGAUCGGCCACACUGGGACUGAGACACGGCCCAGACUCCUACGGGAGGCAGCAGUAGGGAAUCUUCCACAAUGGACGAAAGUCUGAUGGAGCAACGCCGCGUGAGUGAAGAAGGUUUUCGGAUCGUAAAACUCUGUUGUAAGGGAAGAACACGUACGAGAGUAACUGCUCGUACCUUGACGGUACCUUAUUAGAAAGCCACGGCUAACUACGUG
rnacentral:rRNA from 1 species